GAGGAAUAUUGGGCAAUGGGCGAAAGCCUGACCCAGCAACGCCGCGUGAGGGAUGAAGGCCUUCGGGUUGUAAACCUCUUUUCUGGGAGAAGAGACAAGGACGGUAUCCCAGGAAUAAGUCUCGGCUAACUACGUGCCAGCAGCCGCGGUAAUACGUAGGAGGCAAGCGUUAUCCGGAUUCACUGGGCGUAAAGCGCACGCAGGCGGUCAUGUAAGUCGGACGUGAAAGCUCCUGGCUCAACUGGGAGAGGUCGGUCGAUACUGCAUGGCUUGAGGUUGGGAGAGGGAAGCGGAAUUCCCGGUGUAGUGGUGGAAUGCGUAGAUAUCGGGAGGAACACCAGUGGCGAAAGCGGCUUCCUGCCCAUACCUGACGCUCAGGUGCGAAAGCGUGGGGAGCGAAC
rnacentral:rRNA from 1 species